AGUCCUUCUCCCCAUUUCGACUGCCGCAACGACUUGGAGACAAGAAGCCUUCUACAGACUCGGAUCUAAAUGGAACAGCCACUACCUCCUUGCGGACGAACGACACGGGGCCGCACAAACGAGGGCUUCACCACUUCGAACCACCAGAACAGCUCGGCCAUGAACACCAAAUAAUUACUCUACGUAAGAGAGUUAGGAAAAAGAGAAAAAUCAGGUUUUAUCUCAAUUCCUGGGACCUUAAGGAUUCCUUCUUCCCAUAUUCCACAGUCCUGCUGAAUGCUAAAAGUGAGCGGAACUUCCUUCAUGCUCCCAGCAUACCAUAAUAGCAUCUGUCUAAGAUUCGUGUAGUGACUUAUCCUCUAUUUUACUAACUUUAGGACAACAGGUCAGUUUUGUACCACAACUUUUCAGUUUAGCUUUGUAUUAUAAAAGAAACCCAUAGCUAACAGUGUAUUAAAACCUAAAAUAAGCAGAAAACUAAAACUUUUUUCAAAAGCUUAUUUGACUGAUAUUAUAGUUAAUCUGUAAACUUAUAGUGACUAUGCCAUUUAUAGAUCUAGUUACAUAUAUAUUUUUUCAAAAGCUGAAAGCAAAACAAAACAAAAACACCAAGAAUUAUUUAAUUUACCUUGAUG